GUUGGCUAUGGGGACAUAUAUCCUAAGACAUUGCUGGGUAAAAUUAUUGGGGGCCUUUGUUGCAUUGCUGGUGUGUUAGUUAUAGCAUUGCCUAUACCAAUUAUAGUGAAUAAC
rfam:Xenopus laevis potassium channel alpha subunit Kv2.2 (XShab12) mRNA, complete cds.